GACGAACGCUGGCGGCGUGCUUAACACAUGCAAGUCGAACGGAAAGGCCCUGCUUUUGUGGGGUGCUCGAGUGGCGAACGGGUGAGUAACACGUGAGUAACCUGCCCUUGACUUUGGGAUAACUUCAGGAAACUGGGGCUAAUACCGGAUAGGAGCUCCUGCUGCAUGGUGGGGGUUGGAAAGUUUCGGCGGUUGGGGAUGGACUCGCGGCUUAUCAGCUUGUUGGUGGGGUAGUGGCUUACCAAGGCUUUGACGGGUAGCCGGCCUGGGAGGGUAACCGGGCACAUUGGGACUGAGAUACGGCGCAGACUCGUACGGGAGGCAGCGGUGGGGAAUAUUGCACAGUGGGCGGAAGCGUGAUGCGGAAACGCCGCGUGCGGGAUGACGGCCUUCGGGUUGUAAACCGAUUUCGCCUGUGACGAAGCGUGAGUGACGGUAAUGGGUAAAGAAGCACCGGCUAACUACGUG
rnacentral:rRNA from 1 species